UUUUGUAAAAACAAAAACAAGCUGAGUUUUAAACUUUUGAAAAUUCUAAUUAAUUUAAGAAAUCAAAACUUCAAUUAAAAUUUUAGGAACGAAAAUCAUGAUUUCCUACGACGAAAUCGCCAGAUGAAUUCUUUUAGAGGUGAAUCUCAACCUUCAUCAGUGAGCGCUGUCGGUUUGCGGCGCUAUCGGAGGGCGGAGGAAGACUGGAACGCGCACGCCGCCCCAUGCUCGCCCGUCCGCCCUUACUGACCAACACAAGACUAACUUACUAGAAGCGACUUUACUGAAUCUCAAUUCAGAAAUUUGCGAAGAUAUCUCGUCACGAGAAUGCACCCAAAACAGAAUGUUGUAACUAAACUUAUCAGCAAUUGAGUUAAUACCGGCUAAGUGCUGCUUUAACGUUCGAUGAAAUGAUCAAAUAAUUCUCGCAUUGACCUCAAUUCGAUUCGGUUAUCUUAACUAAAUUUUUCACAAAAAAAAAACAUGCUGUUGCAGGUUUAAAGUAAGCUCACAUUUCAAGUUCAACGACAGAUCUUAUCUAUUUGACAAACGGAACGCUUAUACUGACACAUUCGAUAAAAUUUGGACACUAUUGUCUCAAGUGCGCAUCCGCCCACGUAAAUUCCUAAAAUUUGAAAGGUACAAACUGUAACAAAUGUUUAAUAAUAACAAAAAACAAAACGCGUAAAUGCUUACGAAGUAAGUAAGUAUAGCUAUUAGUAGCUACCCAAGUUAAUUUUUUUUGUGUAUUCGAUGGAUUUGCGCAUUUACUACCCACAGUGAUGGAUUUACACUAGGGGCAGUCGGGGCAAGUGCCCAGGGCGGCAAACUUUAUAGGGCGGCAAAAUCUUUAAAGUAAAAAAAAUUUUUUUUAGUCUUAUCAAGAUUGCUCAAUAUGAUUUCUUUUUAAUUGAUAAUUCAAGAAUUCAAUUCAUCCAUUAUUUGUGAAUUAUAAUUUUGGCACCUUUGGUAAAAAUUAAUAAUCAAAAUGAUUUAAUCAAUUUAUUUCCUUGGAGAUUUAAAAUAAUAAUCGGUUUUUCUAUUUUCUGUAAUUAAAGAAAUUUUAUUGUUUUUUUUUUAUGUAAUAUAAUUGAGUCAGUCACCCUUAGUGCAAAAUUAGUUAUUGUUAGAGAAAAAAAAACCAAAUAUUUAUGUUUUUGGAAUAUAUGACAUAUUAUGAUAAAGUUUCCGCAGUAAA